GUAACCUGCCUGUAAGACUGGGAUAACUCCGGGAAACCGGGGCUAAUACCGGAUGCUUGAUUGAACCGCAUGGUUCAAUCAUGAAAGGCGGCUUCGGCUGCCGUUUACAGAUGGACCCGCGGCGCAUUAGCUAGUUGGUGAGGUAACGGCUCACCAAGGCGACGAUGCGUAGCCGACCUGAGAGGGUGAUCGGCCACACUGGGACUGAGACACGGCCCAGACUCCUACGGGAGGCAGCAGU
rnacentral:rRNA from 1 species